UACAGGUAUUUCCAGUUUUGUUCUGCAGAUAAUUUGAGCUCCAUCUGUGGUUGAUGAAUAUUUUUUAGUAUGCUAUUACAAAUUAUGGCUUUCGGCACUGUUGCAGCCUCUCUCUGCUAAUUCAGCUACAUAAAAUAUUGUGUUUCUUGAUUCUGGGUAUAUUUCCAUAGUGGGAAAUGCAGUGAGAGAAACAGGAGUUCUAUUGUCUAUUGCAAUUUGUUGGUUGGUUCAUUUCCACAUAAAAUACUGUUUUUAAUUUUAUGCUGAAAUAGGUGAUUAUUAAUUCUAAAAUAUAAAUUUCCAACAGAGUCUGUACAAAACUCCUUCUAAGGAAGUAGGAUAUAUUUGGACAGAAAUUUUAAUUCAUAUCAAUACCUACCUAGUAACUAUAUAGUUACUUAAUUUGAUUUGAAACAAGAAACAUUUGAUUAUAUUUAUAUUGUGAAUAAUUUAGACUGUGGUCAGUUAAGAAUGAGUUUUAAUCCAUUUUGGUGAAAUUAUUCCUAUAAAUUAACAAAAUUAUGACAUAUAUUGUAGUUUGAUGUUGUAGUUCUUCCUAGAUAUAUUCCUGAUAUAAUUUUAGUACAUGAACUGUUAUAUACUGAAUCUGUGUAUAGGCUCACAGGUCUGGCAGGUCUAUUAUAGCAGAGGUCAGAGUAAGGCAGAAGAUUAUGUCCUAAUAGAAAGGAAGGUUAAGCUAGAUGAUUAAGGGAACAAAGUGUAGGCCCGGCAUGGUGGCUCAUGCCUGUAAUCCCAGAACUUUGGGAGGCUGAGGCAGGCGGAACACAAGGUCAGGAGAUCGAGACCACCCUGGCUAACACGGUGGCUAAACCCCAUCUCUACUAAAAACACAAAAAAUUAGUUGGGCAUGGUGGUAGGCACCUGUAGUCCCAGCUAUUUGGGAGGCUGAGGCAGGAGAAUCUUUUCUACCUGAGAAGCAGAGAUUGCAGUGAGCCGAGAUCAUAGCACUGCACCCCAGCCUGGGUGACAGAGCAAGAGUCUAUCUUAGCAAAAAAAAAAAAAAAAAA
rnacentral:lncRNA from 1 species